rnacentral:rRNA from 1 species
UACGGAGGGUGCAAGCGUUGCUCGGAAUUAUUGGGCGUAAAGGGUAGGUAGGUGGUCUUAUUUGUUUGAGGUGAAAGCCUUGGGCUUCACCCAAAGAAGUGCCUCAAAAACGGUAAGACUAGAGUCCUGGAGAGGGUCGUGGAAUUCCCGGUGUAGCGGUAAAAUGCGUAGAGAUCGGGAGGAACACCAGAGGCGAAGGCGGCGAUCUGGACAGGGACUGACACUCAACUACGAAAGCGUGGGGAUCAAACAGG